rnacentral:rRNA from 1 species
UACGUAGGGGGCAAGCGUUGUCCGGAAUCAUUGGGCGUAAAGCGCGUGUAGGCGGCCCGGUAAGUCCGCUGUGAAAGUCGGGGGCUCAACCCUCGGAUGCCGGUGGAUACUGUCGGGCUAGAGUCCGGAAGAGGCGAGUGGAAUUCCCGGUGUAGCGGUGAAAUGCGCAGAGAUCGGGGGGAACACCGAUGGCGAAGGCAGGUCUCUGGGCAUUAACUGACGCUGAGGAGCGAAAGCAUGGGGAGCGAACAGG